ACCGACUCCUCAUCGCUUAGUUGAUUUGAUAUAUUAUAUAUAUAUGUGCGAGAAUAUUAUCGAACGCUAAUCCGUAGGCAAGCAGAAAAUUAAUAUUCUAUGUAAAGCCAUUAAAAUGCUGCUUUUUUAAAGGAUCGAGCUGUAACCAAUUAUUUUAGGGUGAGUUGAAAACUAGUGAUUAAUUUAUUAA